GGGAUAGGGCUCCCUUUUUUAUUUUUAAAAGACCUUUUUCGGAAGGUAUGCUUAAAGAGGGGCUUGCGUCACAUUAGUUAGUUGGCAGGGUAAAGGCCUACCAAGACUAUGAUGUGUAGCUGGACUGAGAGGUUGAACAGCCACAUUGGGACUGAGACACGGCCCAAACUCCUACGGGAGGCAGCAGUAGGGAAUUUUCGGCAAUGGAGGAAACUCUGACCGAGCAACGCCGCGUGAACGAUGAAGUAUUUCGGUAUGUAAAGUUCUUUUAUUGAAGAAGAAAAAAUAGUGGAAAAACUAUCUUGACGAUAUUCAAUGAAUAAGCCCCGGCAAACUAUGUGCCAGCAGCCGCGGUAAUACAUAGGGGGCGAGCGUUAUCCGGAAUUAUUGGGCGUAAAGGGUGCGUAGGCGGUUUAAUAAGUCUAUAGUUUAAUUUCAGUGCUUAACACUGUCCUGCUAUAGAAACUAUUAGACUAGAGUGAGAUAGAGGCAAGUGGAAUUCCAUGUGUAGCGGUAAAAUGCGUAAAUAUAUGGAGGAACACCAGAGGCGUAGGCGGCUUGCUGGGUCUUUACUGACGCUGAGGCACGAAAGCGUGGGGAGCAAACAGGAUUAGAUACCCUGGUAGUCCACGCCGUAAACGAUGAGUACUAAGUGUCGGGAUUACUCGGUACUGAAGUUAACACAUUAAGUACUCCGCCUGAGUAGUACGUACGCAAGUAUGAAACUUAAAGGAAUUGACGGGACUCCGCACAAGCGGUGGAUCAUGUUGUUUAAUUUGAAGAUACACGAAAAACCUUACCAGGUCUUGACAUACUCUGCAAAGCUAUAGCAAUAUAGUGGAGGUUAUCAGGGAUACAGGUGGUGCAUGGUUGUCGUCAGCUCGUGUCGUGAGAUGUUAGGUUAAGUCCUAAAACGAGCGCAACCCUUGUCAUUAGUUGCCAGCAUGUCAUGAUGGGCACUUUAAUGAGACUGCCAAUGAAAAAUUGGAGGAAGGUGAGGAUCACGUCAAAUCAUCAUGCCCCUUAUGAUCUGGGCUACAAACGUGAUACAAUGGCUGUUACAAAGAGUAGCUGAAACGCAAGUUUAUAGCCAAUCUCAUAAAAGCAGUCUCAGUUCGGAUUGAAGUCUGCAACUCGACUUCAUGAAGUUGGAAUCGCUAGUAAUCGCGAAUCAGCAUGUCGCGGAAAUUAUUCUUU
rnacentral:rRNA from 2 species